rnacentral:rRNA from 1 species
AGCGAACGCUGGCGGCAGGCUUAACACAUGCAAGUCGAGCGGGCAUCCUUGUGGUGUCAGCGGCAGACGGGUGAGUAACGCGUGGGAACGUGCCCUUCGGUUCGGAAUAACUCAGGGAAACUUGAGCUAAUACCGGAUACGUGCGAGAGCAGAAAGGUUUAUCUGCCGAAGGAUCGGCCCGCGUCUGAUUAGCUAGUUGGUGAGGUUACGGCUCACCAAGGCGACGAUCAGUAGCUGGUCUGAGAGGAUGAUCAGCCACCCUGGGACUGAGACCCGGCCCGAACCCCUCGGGGGGGCAGAAUGGGGGAAUAUGGAACAAGGGGGGAAACCCGAACCCAGCCGGCGCGGGAGAGUGAGGAGGGCCUGAGGGUUUAAAGGCUCUUUUCCCCGGGACGAAAAGGCGGUAACCGGAGAAAAAGCCCCGGGCAAAUUUGGG